rnacentral:misc_RNA from 1 species
GAUUUUGUGAGGCUUAAUGUUGUGGUAAGAUUAACCUCUUUGGUAAUAAAGUCUUUCUUCACUUUACUAUCAAGUCAGAUGGUAGAGAUGUCAAUAACUGUACAUGUCACAAAAGGAAUUGAGAAGAACAUCCAACCAUAUUGUAAAAUUUGACUGAGUUUGUUUCAAGAUAACCUUGAUUUUAGUUUGAAUUUGUGCACCGCCAAUCCUUGGGAAAAAAUGAUGCAGCCUUAGUGAACAAAUGCCUGGGACAUGCACAACACAUUAUCAAACCCUUUCCUUUUUUGAUGUAAAUAUAAAAUAUAUACAUAGUCAAAUUGUGAAUGGUUGUCGUCAAUUCCACUUAUCAAAGUAAAUAUCAAAUGCUAAUGCAUUGACAUUUUGCACUUGCGAAUGCACAUUCUGCUAGCACCAUACGGCUCUAUGGGUAGAGUUAUUAUGUCCCAAUGGUUGCAUAAAAUUGGAGUGCCUUAUUUUGGAGUAUCUGAGUGGAAUGAGUUGAAGUUCUUAAAGAACUCUUUUUACUCAAGAAGACACAAUAGUGCCUUUGAGGUUCAGUGUUCUUUGAAUGAACCGUUAAAAGCAGAAGUUCUCAAUAUACAAGAUGUUAGGGACCCCUUAUAUGUAAUAGUUGUGGAUAUAGGGUUGCUUGACUUGAGUACAAAUAUAUGGAAGGAACAACUUAACUUCCUUGAUAAGUUCUCUGGGAAAGCCACAUUUGCCUGGAUGCUAAAUCAUGAUACUUCUAAUGCAAUAAAGAUGGAGCUCCGAAGGAAGGGGCAUAUAUUGAUGGUCAAUAAACCUCUAUACAAGGCAAAAAUGAUUCAGAUUUUGGAAACUGUCAUAAAGGAACAACAAAAGAAAAGUUUGAAUGCUGUGAGAGCUAUAGCAAAAGAUGAUGAUAUGCAUGAAUGCCUCGAGAUUGAUUCCAUUCAGUUUGACAAUGCAAGUUCUGAAGAUUCUGAUAUGCCUGAAAUGGGUAAUUCUAAUGCUCUAAAUGCAUUUCUUCAUGGGGAGAAACAAAAAGAUGGAGGACGGAUCACAUGUCCAUCACAGUAUCAAACAUUUAAGGGGAGUUUAGUUGAAUUGACUGAUCUGCAUUCAGAAGAAAAUAAUUUGGGGAGGGAGGAUACAUGUCAAAUCAACCUCAACUUGCCUGAUGCCAAAGAGGAAACAGCUAUGUUGAUGAACAAGAAACAAGCACCUUUUUCAACAGUCUCUGAAAGUGAAAGUUCAAAGCACUGGGAACAACAUUCAGAAAGUAGUUGUCCUAAAGGGAAAGCUAAUUCAUGCUCCAGCAAAGCUGUGAAUGAACGGAAAGCUCUGGAGGGACUAAGGAUCCUUCUAGCAGAAGAUACUCCAGUUCUGCAAAGAGUUGCAGCUAUCAUGUUAGAAAAAAUGGGAGCUACAGUUACUGCUGUGGGAGAUGGACUGCAAGCAGUGGAUGCUCUAAAUUGCCUACUUAACGCAAAAGAGGGUAGAAGAGAAUCUCUCGUGCAAGAUGGAAAUAAAGGUUCACAAACUGAAAUUCAGGAUUCCCUUCCAUUUGACUUGAUCCUAAUGGAUUGUCAGAUGCCGAAAAUGGAUGGCUAUGAAGCAACGAAAGCGAUUAGACAAUCAGAAGCAGGAACAGGAUUGCACAUUCCCAUUGUUGCAUUGACAGCCCAUGCAAUGUCAUCCGAUGAAACCAAGUGCUUGGAAGUUGGCAUGGAUGCUUAUCUAACAAAGCCAAUUGACUACAAGCUGAUGGUAUCCACCAUUCUAUCACUCACUAAACAAGCAACCUAACUUUUCUCGUCACUUGUUGCAAAAGCUAACAAAAUACUGUCUCAAGUGGUUUUUGGGUUUAAAGUUGGAUGAUUUCACUCAAAAUAUAAUAUAGCAUGCAUCUUGUACGUGUAGAAGUAUCAUCCAAUUUUCCAUGUCCCGUCACAGAUAGAGGGAUUUUUCACUUAAAGUUCAUUUGCUUGCUUGGUUUUUCUAGUGCUCGCAUAUUUAAUUUGUGGAACAGAUCACAAUAAGGCUGCUUGCUUCGAUUCUUGAAACUCAUUUGACAUGAAAAAUGCAGCCAAUGUAGAAAAACAAUGUGAUGUAUGUUAGCAGCACAAGAUGAAGCUGAUUAAUUUAUAGUUUAGCAGAAGUGCUUGGAGGGCUGCCUUUAUAACCAAAAAAGGAAGUGCGCAUCUGCAGAUAGAAUCCCCAAUAUAGUUUAAGGUCUGUAAGAUUCAUAGGGUCAAAUUAAUGAUGAUCAACAGCUUUAAGUUAUGGAGCUUAAUUUGUUUUUCUGAUAUCUUUCUUAUUGUAAAUCUUUC